rnacentral:rRNA from 1 species
GAUGAACGCUGGCGGCGUGCCUAAUACAUGCAAGUCGAGCGAACGGACGAGAAGCUUGCUUUUCUGAUGUUAGCGGCGGACGGGUGAGUAACACGUGUAUAACCUACCUAUAAGACUGGUAUCACUUCGGGAAACCGGAGCUAAUACCGGAUAAUAUUUUGAACCGCAUGGUUCAAAAGUGAAAGACGGUCUUGCUGUCACUUAUAGAUGGUUCCGCGCUGCAUUAGCUAGUUGGUAAGGUAACGGCUUACCAAGGCAACGAUGCAUAGCCGACCUGAGAGGGUGAUCGGCCACACUGGAACUGAGACACGGUCCAGACUCCUAAGGGAGGCAGCAGUAGGGAAUCUUCCGCAAUGGGCGAAAGCCUGACGGAGCAACGCCGCGUGAGUGAUGAAGGUCUUCGGAUCGUAAAACUCUGUUAUUAGGGAAGAACAUAUGUGUAAGUAAAUGUGCACAUCUUGACGGUACCUAAUCAGAAAGCCACGGCUAACUACGUG